rnacentral:rRNA from 1 species
UACGUAGGGAGCAAGCGUUGUCCGGAAUCAUUGGGCGUAAAGCGCGCGUAGGUGGCCCCAUAAGUCCGCUGUGAAAGUCAAAGGCUCAACCUUUGAAAGCCGGUGGAUACUGUGGGACUAGAGUACGGAAGAGGCGAGUGGAAUUCCUGGUGUAGCGGUGGAAUGCGCAGAUAUCAGGAGGAACACCAAUAGCGAAGGCAGCUCGCUGGGACGUUUACUGACACUGAGGCGCGAAAGCGUGGGGAGCGAACAGG